GAAACCCUAUUAACUAGUCGGGCUGAGUCGGAUAUAGUUGGCAUGCCAUAGGAUUGGAAGAGUUCAGGGAUACUUCGACCUUGAGUCGAUGAGACACUGGGUGUCACUAUAUUUCUUCGGAUAGAUUCGAUGAGGUACUGGGUACCAACUUUCUUCGGCUUUGCCGAUGAGACACUGGGUGUCAACUAUUGCUUCGAACUAUCCGAUGAGGCACUGGGUGCCAUUCUGGUGUGUUUGGUUGGAUCCGUGUAUCCGCCAAGGUCCGAGUCUUGUUAAUAGGGGUAAAUAAUUGAAAUGAGAAAAUUGAAUAAAUGUGAUUGAUUGAGCUAUGGGAAGAAACGAAAAAGUGAAGUUGUGAAUUGAUGUGUGAAUUGGAA
rnacentral:lncRNA from 1 species